rnacentral:misc_RNA from 1 species
AACUGAUACUACCUGCGGGAACCUGCGGAAGGAUCAUUAAUGAGAAACUGCCCCUCGCGGGUAGAUCUCCCACCCUUUGUAAACUUACCUUUGUUGCUUUGGCAGGCCCGUCUCCGGACCGCCGGCUUCGGCUGGCCAGUGCCUGCCAGAGGAUUCUAAAACUCUGUCUGUCAGUGUUGUCUGAGUCUAUAUACAAUCGUUAAAACUUUUAACAAUGGAUCUCUAGAUCGGAAGAGCACA